UACGUAGGUGACAAGCGUUGUCCGGAUUUACUGGGCGUAAAGAGCUCGUAGGCGGUUUGUCGCGUCUGCCGUGAAAGUCCCGGGGCUCAACUCCGGAUCUGCGGUGGGUACGGGCAGACUAGAGUGAUGUAGGGGAGACUGGAAUUCCUGGUGUAGCGGUGAAAUGCGCAGAUAUCAGGAGGAACACCGAUGGCGAAGGCAGGUCUCUGGGCAUUAACUGACGCUGAGGAGCGAAAGCAUGGGGAGCGAACAGG
rnacentral:rRNA from 1 species